rnacentral:rRNA from 1 species
AGCAGCAGUGGGGAAUAUUGGACAAUGGGCGAAAGCCUGAUCCAGCCAUGCCGCGUGUGUGAAGAAGGCCUUCGGGUUGUAAAGCACUUUCAGUAGGGAGGAAAGUUGGUGGUUAAUACCCAUCAGCCCUGACGUUACCUACAGAAGAAAGCACCGGCUAACUCCGUGCCAGCAGCCGCGGUAAUACGGAGGGUGCGAGCGUUAAUCGGAAUUACUGGGCGUAAAGCGUACGUAGGCUGUUACUUAAGCUAGAUGUGAAAGCCCCGGGCUCAACCUGGGAACUGCAUUUAGAACUGAGUAGCUAGAAUGUGUGAGAGGUAAGUGGAAUUUCCAGUGUAGCGGUGAAAAUGCGUAGAGAUUGGAAAGAACACCAGUGGCGAAGGCGACUUACUGGCAUAACAUUGACGCUGAGGUACGAAAGCGUGGGUAGCAAACAGGAUUAGAUACCCUGGUAG